rnacentral:lncRNA from 1 species
ACGAAAGAAAAUAGUCAACUUUUUUUUUUAUUCCAUGAGGUUGAGUUCUACACUUUGAUUGGUUCUUAAAAGAUAAGAGAGGUCAAGAUUGUUUAGUGUGGUCAAGUUUUGCAUUGUAUGGAACAUGCUACACCUAGGGUUAUCAUUAGGAUCAGAUCAGACAUUGAACCAUUGAGUCUCAAGUUUGCGGUUCGCUAAGCUCAACAUGUAUACAAAAUGUCGACUGAUUCGCAGGCGUGGCCGAAUUAGAGUCAUUUGUUCCAAUGUUCAACAUGGCUCAAAUAUAACCAAUUCUAUGUCCAAACCGCAAACACAUUCAUGGUUUGGUGUGAGAAUCCUGUCCUCCAAAGGCGGUUGGGGAUUUGAACCCUUAUUCGACAAGGUUCUUUGUUUUUCACCUAUUUUCUCCUACUUCCCC